UAAGGAAUAUUGGUCAAUGGACGCAAGUCUGAACCAGCCAUGCCGCGUGGAGGAUGAAGGUCCUCUGGAUUGUAAACUUCUUUUAUCUGGGACGAAACACUUCUUUUCUAAGAGGCCUGACGGUACCAGAUGAAUAAGCACCGGCUAACUCCGUGCCAGCAGCCGCGGUAAUACGGAGGGUGCGAGCGUUAUCCGGAUUUACUGGGUUUAAAGGGUGCGUAGGUGGGCUUAUAAGUCAGUGGUGAAAUCUCCGAGCUUAACUUGGAAACUGCCGUUGAUACUAUAGGUCUUGAAUUAUCUGGAGGUAAGCGGAAUAUGUCAUGUAGCGGUGAAAUGCUUAGAUAUGACAUAGAACACCAAUUGCGAAGGCAGCUUACUUCAUAUAAAUUGACGCUGAGGCACGAAAGCGUGGGGAUCAAACA
rnacentral:rRNA from 1 species